GUUCAACCAUCCAUCUCCAUCUCCAUCUCUUCUCUUCUCUUCUCUUUUGUCCCUGCCCUCUGCUCUUCCUUCGUCACACCUUACAUCCACCCCGACCUUGCGAGAUUGAGUGAGACAGCAAGAAGGCGGAUGUUGCUAGGAAGAGAUCGAGAGGGGAACCGAAUAAAGAAAGCAGUCUAGUCUUGAAAAAUCAGUGAUGGAAUGGACCAUGAUCCUUUGAUGGAGAACACUUUCCUGUGAAGCCUUUAGCCUAUCCUUCUAUUGAUAGGUUAAGUCCAGAGCCCCCGACCGAGGUGAGUAUCAAAUUCGUUUGAAUCGUCGCUAGGUUUAAUUAGGACCUUCUCGGCGCCGCCCCCACCAGCAACACCAACGGCCCCGCCCCCAUCAGCAACGCCUUCGAUCCAGAUCCGCAGCCCAUCUCGCCGACCUCAACCCAAUAUUUGAGUUUGGAACUCACUGCAAUGAGAAACCGACGAAAGACAAAAGAGGACCUAACAUUAGAUGCUACGGGUGGUGAACUCCAGUUUGUUUUGGGCCAACAACCAAAUCCCUACUUGACUGUGUAAUUCCAAUAUUCUAUAUAUUCGUCCAUCAAAAUUGAAGUCAGGAAUGAAAAGGGACUGAAGGUAGAAAUUCAUUGGAAGUGAAGCCCGAAUGUGUUUGAAGUGCUGAUGUACAAGCUGAUUUUUCACUUACUGAGCCAAUGCUACAAGAUGAGGAUUGCAUAGAGAAAGAAUGCCCAAAGAAAAGGUAUUCGGUUACAUUUUGUAAUUAGGGCACUGUGCUUCUCAGCCUUCUCUUAUCGCAGUUCUUCAAAGCUUCGUGUUGCUUGCAUCGAUAAACUUGAGAAUUAAAUAAUUAAUGAUGAAACUCCAUAUAUCUCUACUUUGUGAUCUGAAAAGAAUUUGUUUGGUUUAAAUGGCAUGAAGAGUGCAUAGUUGAAACUUACCAUCAAAAGGGAAAAUAGACAGAGUUGUCUGUUAUGUUAAAUGCAUCAGUAAGAAUUUGUGGCUCUUUUUCCUUUUCUUCUUUUAUGACGGCAAUGUUGGCUCUUAUUGUCAUGUUCAAAAUAAAUAGUUUUGCCUACCAAAUGUAUGAUUACCACUAAGAACUUGUUUUGACACACAAUUUGCUUAACCUUUUACGAUGGCUCAUAGGUAUUUGAGGAUAGCAUAGCCAUGAUACAAUAAACAGUUUUCUUUAGUGGUUGGGGAUGUGCGCUGGUGGUUUUGGUAAGAAGACUACUUGCAGGGGUUCAUAUAUCUUUCAAUAGUUUUGGGGGGUUAUGUGUGGAAUCUGAGAAGUGAAAUGCUUCAUAUAUGAUCAUUUUUGAAAUUGAUUCGCCAUUCUCGUAUGGUGUUCAUAUAUUGAAAACUCUAAUGAUUUGGUAUUCAAGACCAUGACGUGUGGGAUUUUUGCUUCGACAAUUCAAGAGAAAGUGGUGCUGAAGGAGGACAAAGAAAGGAUAGAGCAGCAGCUGAAAGCACAAGGAAAUGGUUACUGUUUCAUCUUCAAAAAUUGGCCACGGUUGUUGCUCCGAAAAGAUGGAGAAGCAGGAUAGUUGCUUACCUUAAUGUCAAGUCUAGUAAUUCAUUUGGUUUUAUGAUUUUUGUGAUAGCAUUUGGUCACCUGUAAUAAAAUGGAGAUAUAAUUCAUUUGGUCACCUAUACUAGUAGAGAGUUUUUGUUAUAGCAUUUGGUUUAA